rnacentral:rRNA from 1 species
UGAGCUGCUGGAUUUCUCAAGAGACUUAUCCGGCCGGCUACAGACCCUUUAGACCCAAUAAUAACGGUUACCACUCGAGCCGCCGGUGUUACCGCGGCGGCUGGCACCGGUCUUGCCCGGCCCUUGCUAUGCAAUGCUUUUUAGGCAUCACGACAGCCAGAUUUGUAACCUGGCACUCGAGGUCCCCUUAUCGCCGUUGCCGGCAUUGUAAAGUUUUCGCGCCUGCUGCACCCCGUAGGGCCUGGAUUCGUGUCUCAGAAUCCAUCUCCGGGCUCUUGCUCUCACAACCCGUACCCGUCGUAGGCUAGUAGGUACGCUACACCCACUACUACCUGAUAGGCCGCAGACCCAUCCUCUGGCGCCGGAGCUUUCGAUCUCGGGGCAUUCCAGCGACCGAGAUCUAUCGGGGAUUAUACCCAGUUUCCCGGGUUUAUACCCGUCCGGAGGGUAGUUUGUCCACGUGUUACUGAGCAGUACGCCAUGUAUU